GGGUUGUGAGGUUAAGCGACUAAGCGUACACGGUGGAUGCCCUGGCAGUCAGAGGCGAUGAAGGACGUGCUAAUCUGCGAAAAGCGUCGGUAAGGUGAUAUGAACCGUUACAGCCGGCGAUGUCCGAAUGGGGAAACCCAGUGCAAUUCGUUGCACUAUCGUUAACUGAAUACAUAGGUUAACGAGGCGAACCGGGGGAACUGAAACAUCUAAGUACCCCGAGGAAAAGAAAUCAACCGAGAUUCCCCCAGUAGCGGCGAGCGAACGGGGAGCAGCCCAGAGUCUGAAUCAGCUUGUGUGUUAGUGGAACGGUCUGGAAAGUCCGACGGUACAGGGUGAUAGUCCCGUACACCAAAAUGCACAGGCUGUGAACUCGAAGAGUAGGGCGGGACACGUGGUAUCCUGUCUGAAUAUGGGGGGACCAUCCUCCAAGGCUAAAUACUCCUGACUGACCGAUAGUGAACCAGUACCGUGAGGGAAAGGCGAAAAGAACCCCGGCGAGGGGAGUGAAAAAGAACCUGAAACCGUGUACGUACAAGCAGUGGGAGCACCUUCGGGUGUGACUGCGUACCUUUUGUAUAAUGGGUCAGCGACUUAUAUUCUGUAGCAAGGUUAACCGUAUAGGGGAGCCGCAGGGAAACCGAGUCUUAACUGGGCGUUAAGUUGCAGGGUAUAGACCCGAAACCCGGUGAUCUAGCCAUGGGCAGGUUGAAGGUUGGGUAACACUAACUGGAGGACCGAACCGACUAAUGUUGAAAAAUUAGCGGAUGACUUGUGGCUGGGGGUGAAAGGCCAAUCAAACCGGGAGAUAGCUGGUUCUCCCCGAAAGCUAUUUAGGUAGCGCCUCGUGAACUCAUCUUCGGGGGUAGAGCACUGUUUCGGCUAGGGGGUCAUCCCGACUUACCAACCCGAUGCAAACUACGAAUACCGAAGAAUGUUAUCACGGGAGACACACGGCGGGUGCUAACGUCCGUCGUGAAGAGGGAAACAACCCAGACCGCCAGCUAAGGUCCCAAAGUCACAGUUAAGUGGGAAACGAUGUGGGAAGGCACAGACAGCCAGGAUGUUGGCUUAGAAGCAGCCAUCAUUUAAAGAAAGCGUAAUAGCUCACUGGUCGAGUCGGCCUGCGCGGAAGAUGUAACGGGGCUAAACUGUGCACCGAAGCUGCGGCAGCGACACUAUGUGUUGUUGGGUAGGGGAGCGUUCUGUAAGCCUGCGAAGGUGGCCUGUGAGGGUUGCUGGAGGUAUCAGAAGUGCGAAUGCUGACAUAAGUAACGAUAAUGCGGGUGAAAAGCCCGCACGCCGGAAGACCAAGGGUUCCUGUCCAACGUUAAUCGGGGCAGGGUGAGUCGACCCCUAAGGCGAGGCCGAAAGGCGUAGUCGAUGGGAAACAGGUUAAUAUUCCUGUACUUGGUGUUACUGCGAAGGGGGGACGGAGAAGGCUAUGUUAGCCGGGCGACGGUUGUCCCGGUUUAAGCAUGUAGGCGGAGGUUCCAGGUAAAUCCGGUACCUUUUUAACGCUGAGGUGUGAUGACGAGGCACUACGGUGCUGAAGUAACAAAUGCCCUGCUUCCAGGAAAAGCCUCUAAGCAUCAGGUAACAUUGAAUCGUACCCCAAACCGACACAGGUGGUCAGGUAGAGAAUACCAAGGCGCUUGAGAGAACUCGGGUGAAGGAACUAGGCAAAAUGGUGCCGUAACUUCGGGAGAAGGCACGCUGAUAUGUAGGUGAAGCCCCUGCGGGUGGAGCUGAAAUCAGUCGAAGAUACCAGCUGGCUGCAACUGUUUAUUAAAAACACAGCACUGUGCAAACACGAAAGUGGACGUAUACGGUGUGACGCCUGCCCGGUGCCGGAAGGUUAAUUGAUGGGGUUAUCCGUAAGGAGAAGCUCUUGAUCGAAGCCCCGGUAAACGGCGGCCGUAACUAUAACGGUCCUAAGGUAGCGAAAUUCCUUGUCGGGUAAGUUCCGACCUGCACGAAUGGCGUAAUGAUGGCCAGGCUGUCUCCACCCGAGACUCAGUGAAAUUGAACUCGCUGUGAAGAUGCAGUGUACCCGCGGCAAGACGGAAAGACCCCGUGAACCUUUACUAUAGCUUGACACUGAACAUUGAGCCUUGAUGUGUAGGAUAGGUGGGAGGCUUUGAAGCGUGGACGCCAGUCUGCGUGGAGCCAACCUUGAAAUACCACCCUUUAAUGUUUGAUGUUCUAACGUUGGCCCCUGACCGGGGUUGCGGACAGUGUCUGGUGGGUAGUUUGACUGGGGCGGUCUCCUCCCAAAGAGUAACGGAGGAGCACGAAGGUUAGCUAAUCCUGGUCGGACAUCAGGAGGUUAGUGCAAUGGCAUAAGCUAGCUUGACUGCGAGCGUGACGGCGCGAGCAGGUGCGAAAGCAGGUCAUAGUGAUCCGGUGGUUCUGAAUGGAAGGGCCAUCGCUCAACGGAUAAAAGGUACUCCGGGGAUAACAGGCUGAUACCGCCCAAGAGUUCAUAUCGACGGCGGUGUUUGGCACCUCGAUGUCGGCUCAUCACAUCCUGGGGCUGAAGUAGGUCCCAAGGGUAUGGCUGUUCGCCAUUUAAAGUGGUACGCGAGCUGGGUUUAGAACGUCGUGAGACAGUUCGGUCCCUAUCUGCCGUGGGCGCUGGAGAAUUGAGGGGGGCUGCUCCUAGUACGAGAGGACCGGAGUGGACGCAUCACUGGUGUUCGGGUUGUCAUGCCAAUGGCAUUGCCCGGUAGCUAAAUGCGGAAGAGAUAAGUGCUGAAAGCAUCUAAGCACGAAACUUGCCCCGAGAUGAGUUCUCCCUGAGACUUUAAGUCUCCUGAAGGAACGUUAAAGACGAUGACGUUGAUAGGUCGGGUGUGUAAGCGUAGCGAUACGUUGAGCUAACCGAUACUAAUGAACCGUGAGGCUUAACCUUACAACGCCGAAGGUGUUU
rnacentral:rRNA from 1 species